GCACUUUCUCAGCAGCAUUUUCUGAAUACCAGAGGUGCUUCAGUUUACAGUCAGACUACUGGAAGCCGGAGGAGGAGCCACACUAAGUACCUGUCACACAUCCGGAGGAACAGCCUGGAGGUGGAGGCAGGGUCGCCCCACUGUGGAGUUACGCCCCACUCCACCCCCCACUAGAGCACAGCAGCCAGACCUAAAGACAGAAUGAGAAUGGACGACGUGUUGGAAGUCAAAUAUCCAAAAACAUUCAGCGUUCACCGAGAGCUGAAACACUUGUCAAUAUCCAGCACAGACUUGAAUCAAGAUUGCAGUGUCUAUAAUUAAAGUUCUAAGUCUGGCAAGCCAUACACCCAUCCCCUCACAUAUUCAGCCUUCACUCCAUGGCUUGGUGAGGCUGUCAGAAUUAAUGAUCUUGUCCCAAAGACUGAGAUUCUGAAAGGGUUGUCUCCAAAGGACCAAGCAACAACUUCAGGGACUGCCUCUGCCAUAGAUGAAGACACCAUAUUACGAGUACUGGAUUCCAGACCACUGAACUGGUAUGUGAAGACGAUUUUGCAGGAGAUGCAUCCUGGGAUAUUUUGUGUGAUGGUGAUUUUGCAGCUGAAGAAACAGAAGAUCAUCCUUGGUGCAGUUUUGACUGUAUUGGGGUUCCACAUCUGGAACAUAUGGGUGGUAGAUCGGGCGUCUUAGACACACAGGUUGAUGGUGUGCUGGAUAGCACCAAACCACCUGACAAGGUGGUGGGUGUUCUGGGGGGACGCAACGUAACUAGAUGAGAUUUCAAGACUCUCGGAUUUCCGGAACUGUUGGAGUUCACAGUAUGGAUUGCUUACAGAAUGGAUUUUUACACUGAACUCAGUUGACAUUAAUCUUUAAUUCUAUCUGUUUUUGUAGAUUGCCAAUUGUUGCCUGCAGCUCAUUUGAGAAAUUGCCAGGGACAAGGGAAAGGACGUGUAUGCCGAGGAUGCCUUUGUGGUGUCAACUUGGCAUGCCCUCUUCAGGAAGACGCGAUGCAGAGUCUCCCUCAUGACGCAGGAUCCAAAGAUUUCUCCUCCUUUUCCCUGUGUGGAAACCGGGGCAGUGGUUCUUAAGUACUUAUAUAAUCGUUAGGGACAGACAAGGCCACGAGGUCCCUGAUUCAGUGGUGGAUGCUGAACGCCUGCAGCUUUAUCGUGAAGCGGAAUGCUGCCCUGCAUUGUGUACGAGAUCUGAAGUGACCCGGAACUGGGGUCAGAGGGGGGUGAGGCAACCACUGCGUCCUGGAAAUGGUAUCCUUUGAUGAAUGACGCAAUUGGUGACAGGCCGUCGGCAACGCUGCCUGUCCUCAUUGCCUCAUCAUGCCAGGACGUGGCGGUUGUGGAACCCCCCUCGUUGGUGACCCCAGAAAGAGACCUAGCCACGGCUUCCGCGGCAUCCACUCCAAAACGGAGGCGGGUGGAUGUUGCGGAGGCCAUGAAAGAGUUACAAGAGAAGGAGCUGUUUUACGAACAGGAGAUUAUGAAGAUGGAGGCGAAGGCAAGAGAGAGAGAGGAAGCCAGAGAUGAGAGAGAGAAGAGUCGGCACCGCAAGGCUGUGCAGAGGGACGAACGCCAUUUUAAGGAGAUGAGAGGAGAGACAAUGAGAUGAGGGAGAGGAGAGGAGAGGCGAGACAGGGAGCAUUGCAACUUCAAAGAGGGAACUAUUACAUACAUUGUCUCCUUGCCGGAGCAACCACAGCAUUGCUUCCAAAUCAUCCAAAAUUGGAGAAGCUGCCAAAGGCCCUGGAAGUUGAUGAACAGGGACCAUGACUUACAAAAUGACUCGGUGUCAUGUGGAGUGUUCUCAAUAAUGCUCUGUUUCAGACUGAUAACUCCGGUUCAGGCUGG